UACGGAGGGAGCUAGCGUUGUUCGGAAUUACUGGGCGUAAAGCGCGCGUAGGCGGUUUUUUAAGUCAGAGGUGAAAGCCCAGUGCUCAACACUGGAACUGCCUUUGAAACUGGAAAACUUGAAUCUUGGAGAGGUCAGUGGAAUUCCGAGUGUAGAGGUGAAAUUCGUAGAUAUUCGGAAGAACACCAGUGGCGAAGGCGACUGACUGGACAAGUAUUGACGCUGAGGCGCGAAAGCGUGGGGAGCGAACAGG
rnacentral:rRNA from 1 species